CUCUCAUUCUUCCAGGCUAAAUGGAAAAGAAUCAUCCUGCUGGAGCAGCUCAUUCUCAGGAGGGGCAGAUGAGGGAGCAACCAGUCUGGUGUCUGUGGAUCAGAGGCAGAAAGCAAGAUGGAGGUCACUUUUGCAGACUCUUGCAUGUCAGGGAGCAUUUACUGUCUUCUUAAACAGACACCCCAUCUGUGCUUUGAGAAGACAAUUCUGGCCAGGUGUGAGUAAAAUAGCAGCUUGCCCUCCAUCUCCUAUUGCUGAUGAACCUUCAGCUCCUCCGUCUCCCAUGCCCUCUCCCUCCUCCAGUCAGUAGCUCUUCUUGCCUGUUCACUCGAUGCCAGCCCCUGUAUGCCAGCUGUUGUACUGGACUACUCUACACUUCAAGUGCUGUACU
ensembl:lncRNA